GACGGAUGGGCUGGGACGGGUUUUGGGGGGGUGUCCCCAAUUCUGACUGGGAGUGGAGGAACCCCUCCUGAGCUCUCUUGUGGGGGUGCCCCCUCCCCAGGGCACUCCCCAGUCCCUGAGCCAGCCGAGAGGAAGGAGGCCAGCGAUGCGACUGGGGCGGCUCCUUUCUCCUGCACCCCAAAUGUGAGGGAUGCACCCUAAAUUUUGCUCUUUUCAAAAUAGGGGACCAGGAUCUCAGGGGAGAGUAGCUGAGGCCUUGCUCGGAGUCCCAGGAGAUCCACAGGUCCGGCAUGAACAGUGAGAGGUCAGAGGUGGAAGGCUCAGCAGGAGAGGAGAGGAGGAUCAGCAGAGGUCAUGAGAAGGCCAGAAUCCAGGGUCAGGCUGUCUGGAACAGGAAGUAAAAUGGGCCGAGAUGGAGCGAGCCCCCAGUGUGCUUCCAAGGCCACUCCCAACUCCCUGAAACACCCUGCUACGUACUGAUCCAAUGCCCUGCGCUGUGUAUGAGAGCACCUUCUCUUCUGAAACCCCUAUACAAGGGAGGGGCCCCUGCGGAGACCGUGCCCUGCCAUCCAGUCCUCAAGGGGAUUCUAAAAAACUAGUGACAAAGUAGGGAAGCAGCUGAGCUGGAAAGGAGUUCUGAGGACGAUGGAACCUUGGGUAAGGAGGAAGAAGGCUGCCCACCCGCCCUUUUCUGGCAGCCACCCUCCCUCACACUGUCCGUUCCUUGAUGACACAGCUGAUGUGAUUAAGAUCGUCCCCAAAUCGCUUCA
rnacentral:antisense_RNA from 1 species